GAUUGGAGAUGUUUUUGAGAGGAGAGAGGUUGGGAGACUUUUUGGAUUGGUUAGGAUAUGACGGAAUAAAGAAAAAAACUGAAAAUUUUGAUUUUUAAAAUCUUAAACAAGAGAAGGGUUGUAAUUUUGGUCUGACAAAUCCUGUUACAAAUCCUAUCGUAUCUUUGGAAUAUAUUUUGCCUAUACACACCGAAUAUGAAGUAUAGGGGUAUCAGUGUCCUCCAUAAUUAUCAACAGUGUCUGAAAUGUGGGCUCUUGGCAGUGUGCUAAAUAGCAGAUAGAUGGUUGGUAGGCAUCCUAAUUUUUCUAAUAUUAAAAGUCUCACUAAAAAGCUCGUAUCUUGGAAAUAGUGAAGUCUCUAAACAUAUUUUAAGAUUUAACUAUUAAACGUAUUAUAUACAUAAAUUAUUUUAUGUAUUAGUAUGUGUUUUACAUAUUAUGAAAUAAUAAAUAUAUAUUGAAUAAUUAAAAGAACAGUA
rnacentral:lncRNA from 1 species